UACGUAGGCAGCGAGCGUUGUUCGGAGUUACUGGGCGUAAAGGGUGCGUAGGCGGCUUUUUAAGUUUGGUGUGAAAUCUCCCGGCUCAACUGGGAGGGUGCGCCGAAUACUGAGAAGCUAGAGUGUGGGAGAGGAAAGUGGAAUUCCUGGUGUAGCGGUGAAAUGCGUAGAUAUCAGGAGGAACACCGGUGGUGUAAACGGCUUUCUGGACCAUAACUGACGCUGAGGCACGAAAGCGUGGGUAGCAAACAGG
rnacentral:rRNA from 1 species